AAGAGGCCCACGUGUAAAGAGUAUAAGUGAUAUUACGUCCAUUAUCUCACUAUUUUUGUGGAGAAUGCUAUGGAGAAAAUUAAGCAACAUUUAGUAAUUUCAUAUUUUGUGGCAGCAACGUCCAGCAAAUUAAUUUCAAGAGAAAUAGAUGCAGCAACAUGAUUUUCCCUUUUUACAAGCAACGUUAUUCAAUUUAUUAUGGGUUUCGCUCAUCGCUUCGAUUUCGUUGUUCCGUUUUAUCGCAUUGUUGAAUUCGGAAUUUCUUCGAAGUGAAGUAAGAUGGAAGAGGAGUUCUUGGCAAAUAAGGCUGAACCGCUAAAGUAAUUGCGAGCCGGACUGGCAACAAAGCUAACAAGAUGUCAAAGUGGGAGAUCUUAACAAGCCAUUUCGAUUCAACGGUACUCAUUUCAAGGGAUGGAAGGGUAAACUACUUUUGUACUUAAGUCUUCUCAAUGUUUCUCAUAUGUUAACUGAGAAGAAUCCAAACAAAGAAGGCAACUCUUCCAUGAAUGAUGAAGAACUUAUUUCUCUUCAAGAAAAAAUUGAAAAGUACGAUGAAGAUUCAUACAAGUGUCGAUAUUAUCUUAUUAAUUGUCUAUCAGAUAAUUUUUAUGAUUAUUAAGAUAGAACUUACUCUACUCCAAAGAAAAUUUGGAAAGUGUUGCAGAGAAUAUGAUACCGAUGAGGUUGGAGCGAAAAAAUUAUGCUGCUAGUAGAUUUUUUCAUUUUCAAAUGGUGGAUAACAAAUCAGUGUUAGACCAAGCUCAAGACUUUAUAAUGAUCGUUGGAGAGCUCAGGUCCGUGGAGAUAAAAAUUGGAGAUAAUCUUAUUGUUUGUGGCAUAAUAGAUAAACUUCCACCUUCAUGGAAGGAAUUUCAAAAAACUAUGCGCCACAAACAAAAGGAAACUUCACUUGAGACGUUGAUUAUGCGAAUCCCCAUGGAAGAAGAGCCAAGGAGCCAAGAUGCACUUUUGCAAAUGGAAGAGAGCACCUUACAACCCGUCACAAACAAGGUAAACUUAAUUACUUCAAAUAAUGCUGCUCCUAAUACUCACAAAAAUACUUCUUUGAAGCCUAAGAAGAAAACAUUCAUGAAAAAUAAUGGUAGACCUCCCAAUAAAAAUAAUGGUGGUGAUAACCAAGCACAAGAUCAACAAGUAUAAAAUGGAGGACCGUGCUUUGUCUGUUGCAAGAGUGGGCAUAUUUAUCGAUUUUGCAAGUUUCAAAAAUGUGGUCCUACAGCUCAGUCGAACGUUACCAAAGAGCCACUUGUGGCUGUGAUAACAAACAUAAAUAUGGUUGAAAAUUUUGAUGGAUGAUGGGAUAGUUCUGGUGCAAACCUUCAUGUCUUCUAUGACAAGGAUGGUUCAAAGUGUAUACUCCUUUUGAGGAGCCCAAAACCAUCAUGCUUGGUGAUUCCCACACCACCCAAGUUCUUGGAAAGGGAGAUGUCUGAGUUGAGCUUCACUUCUGGAAGGGUACUAGCAUUAAAAGAUGUACUUUUACUCCUUCCAUGAGAAAGAAUUUGAUGUCUAGUUUUCUUCUUAAUAUAGCAGGCUUCAAACAAAUUAUUGAGUCUGAUCAAUUUGUAACAGUGAAGAAAGGUAUUUUUGUGGGGAAGGGGUAUGCUUGUGAUGGGAUGUUCAAGUUGAAUGUUGAGAUGAAUAAAGUUUCUAAUUCUGUUUAUAUAUUUUCUUCUACUAAUUUUUGGCAUGCUCGUUUGUGUCAUAUUAAUAAUCGUUAUGGGGGAAUCAUGAGUAGUUUAGGAUUAAUCCCAAUGAUUAAAAAGGAUUUUGAAAAUGUGAGGCUUGUAAUAAAGCCAAAAUCACAAAAGGCCUCAUUUUCAAGUUGAAAGAAAAACUGAAUUGUUAGAGUUAGUCCAUACUGAUAUUUGUGAACU